rnacentral:lncRNA from 1 species
AAAAUUCUUUUUUCUUUUAUACUAUUAUAUGUGUAAUGCUCUUAAAAAUAUGCACAAAUAUCAAGUUUCACUUUUACCUUAGCUGAAUAAAAAAUUCUGAAUAUUUUCACAUAUCUCUUUCUACCAUUUUUCAUUUUGCUAUCUGUCCGGAGCUGCGCGCCCCGGCCAUAGCGAAUAAUAAUUAACGAUUAAAACGCCUGAGCUCUAUUCAUUUCCACCUCUCACCUCCUUCCUAGAUUUGUCUUUUUCCCCUGUAUUAAAUACCUCACACAAGAUGGCGCUCUUCCUGCUUCUUCUUCACCCAUCUUUCCCGCGCGCGUGAAAAUUGUUACUUUAUAGCGCAGGCGCAACAUGACGUCCGACCGAUGAAACCAAAACCUGCCUGGCCACGCCCUCCGAAAUGAGAUCAUUUCCGCCUUGGCCCAACCCCUUCCCCUCCAAGUGUAUAUAAGGCACUGCAUUACCGCCAUUAAACGAGACUUGAUCAGAGCACUGUCUUGUCUCCAUUUCUCCUGUCUCUUGUUCCCCAAAUUCCCACUCCCUCCUCCAGGGCCUGCAUCGAGGAUCCCGCAGGCCGGGAUAGCUAUCAGUCUUGGCUUCCAUCAUUUUGUUACAUGAAGAGGCAUCUUCAAAGAGCAAACUGAUACAACUUUAAAUUGAAAAGGACAAAGUUUGAAAUGAAAUAUUUGCCCAAAGAUUUGUUGUGUUUUGCAAGGCUGGAGUACAGCGGUUUGCUCUUAGCUCACUGCAACCUCUACCUCUCAGACUGAAGCCAUCCUCCCACUUCAGCCUUCCCAGUAGCUGGGACUUACAGGUACCAGACACAAAGUUAUUUAUUUAUUUAUUUAUUUAUUUAUUUUGUAUUUUUUGUAGAGAUGAAGUUUUACUGUGUUGUUCAGGUUGGUCUCCAACUCCUGAGCUCAAGCAAUCUGUCACCUUGGCCUUCCAAAGUGUUGGGAUUACAGGUGUGAGCCACUAUGUCUGGCCCACAAGG